rnacentral:rRNA from 1 species
CCUACGGGAGGCAGCAGUGGGGAAUUUUGGACAAUGGACGCAAGUCUGAUCCAGCAAUGCCGCGUGCAGGAUGAAGGCCUUCGGGUUGUAAACUGCUUUUGUACGGAACGAAAAGGUCUGCCCUAAUACGGUGGGCCCAUGACGGUACCGUAAGAAUAAGCACCGGCUAACUACGUGCCAGCAGCCGCGGUAAUACGUAGGGUGCAAGCGUUAAUCGGAAUUACUGGGCGUAAAGCGUGCGCAGGCGGUUAUAUAAGACAGAUGUGAAAUCCCCGGGCUCAACCUGGGACCUGCAUUUGUGACUGUAUAGCUAGAGUACGGUAGAGGGGGAUGGAAUUCCGCGUGUAGCAGUGAAAUGCGUAGAUAUGCGGAGGAACACCGAUGGCGAAGGCAAUCCCCUGGACCUGUACUGACGCUCAUGCACGAAAGCGUGGGGAGCAAACAGGAUUAGAUACCCUGGUAGUCCACGCCCUAAACGAUGUCAACUGGUUGUUGGAUCCUUACUGAUUCAGUAACGAAGCUAACGCGUGAAGUUGACCGCCUGGGGGAGGUACGGCCGCGAGGUAGAACGUAAAGUAAAGUAGUACGCGUGAGACGUGCCGACGGACGACGACGAGGGAGGAGG